GUAUCCCGACUUAACUACGGGAUUAUCUCCUUGAUUCCCAAGGUUCCGGGAGCGGCGGACAUUAGACAAUUCCGUCCCAUCACAGUCCUCAAUGUGAUCUUUCGGAUCCUCGCUAAAGGGUACGCCACUAGGGCGGCCCUUAUUGCUCCCCGGAUUCAUCAUCCGAACCAGUCGGCCUUCACAAAAGGGAGAUAUAUCUUAGAUGGGAUUCUUGCCCUCCAUGAGAUUAUCCAUGAGGUUAAGAGCAAACACCUCCGUGCGGUCUUCUUCAAGAUCGAUUUCCAUAAAUCCUAUGAUACUGUUCUGGUCCUUUCUUCUGGAAGUGUUGAUGAAACAUGGCUUUGA
rnacentral:rRNA from 1 species